rnacentral:rRNA from 1 species
UACAGAGGGUGCGAGCGUUAAUCGGAGUUACUGGGCGUAAAGGGCGCGUAGGUGGUUGUUUAAGUGAGAUGUGAAAUCCCUGGGCUUAACCUAGGAACUGCAUCUUAUACUGGGCAACUGGAGUACUGUAGAGGGUAGUGGAAUUUCCGGUGUAGCGGUGAAAUGCGUAGAGAUCGGAAGGAACACCAGUGGCGAAGGCGGCUACCUGGACAGAUACUGACACUGAGGCGCGAAAGCGUGGGGAGCAAACAGG